CUUAAACACUUGUCCUCUUUGUUUACUGGAUCUGUAGCAUUCAAAUGAUAUUAUGCAUGUUAAAUUGUUUUGCCUGUCAUACCAGUAUCAUAGGAAUUUACUCAUGUCUGUUUGGUUUUUGCAUGAUUUAAUCAAGUUCUACUAGGUUCUUGAAGGGUACAUGAUAAAAGGACUAUUUUAAAUGAUUAGGGAAUUUAUGAAAUUAGGAUGAUAUGUUUUAAGGCUAAGUUAUUUAAAGUAGGAUGAUUACAGAUUUAGGCUUUUAAAAAAAACCAGCAGCCACCAUAUGUGCACCAUUCAUUUGAUAUUAUGUGUUAUAUUGUUAAGCAUGUCAUACUAGUUUCGUAGGAAAUUUACUCAUGUUUGUAUGGCGGGGCAUGGUUUAAUCAAGUUAUACCAGAUUUUUGAAGGGCACAUGAUGAAAGGACUAUCAUGGAAUUUAUGAAAUUAGGAUGUUAUACUUUAAAGCUAAGUUAUUUAAAUUUAGAUUAGAUCGUACCAAGUGGAAAGGUAAUAGGUGACAAAUUCUCUUUAGCCCGACAUUUCUUUUAUGUUAGUUGCUUGUGAAAAAAAAUAUAAGGAUUAUGAUUAUGAUGAUGACUUAAGAGGAAAAGGCCUCAAAGGAGCCCGUUCAUGGGAAAAAAAAUCUCCAGAGGGAGUCCGUUUACGGGAAAAGGCCCCAGAGGGAACCCAUUUAUAGGAAAAGACCCCAGAGGGAGCACAUUUAUAGGAAAAGACCCUAGAGGGAGUCUGUUUAUGGGAAAAGGUCCCAAAGGGAGCCCGAUUAAGGGAAAAUGCCCUAGAAGAAGUCCAACAUUGGAUUUCCAUAUUAGGCCACAACCUAGUGAUGAGUGCUACUAGCACCCCGCUGCCAAGUACCAUGGUUUCAUAAUUGAGAUUGAUCAAUUGACCGGAUAAUAAUAGCUAGUCACUUUUAAUGAUUACACCUCACCUUAAAGGGAUUAUCGAUAUAUAAUGGCGAUUAAAGCUGCGCAAUGAUAUAGGGAUUGGUGAUGAGCUCUUGGAAAUUCUUCUUUUAGCAUCAUCUUAUGUAUACUAAUGUAAUUUCUGGAUAUCUUUUCCUACUCUAUACUCUGUGAAUUUUAUAUCUCUCAUACGACAUGCUAUCUUCCUAUUACAUGUACACUUAUCUCCUUCAUGCUAGACUUAUGACUUCUCUCAUUUAAUAUAUAUUCAAGAUAUAACAGCUGCUAUCUUCUCUUUUAUUACCUGAUGCCAAACUUGCUUAUCUGUUUAUUUUUAAACGAAGCAUGUAACUGAAUUUUUUUGCAUAAACAACUACUAUCUUCUACAGAUAUCUCUUAUCUUCCUUUUAAACUUAGGAUCGUUAACCAAUCAUGUUGUAUGCGUAAUAAUUGUUAUUAAUGGUUAAGAAGUGCUGAGCUUUAGACUCAUUCAAUGUGUAUGAGUACAGGUGAUAAUAAUUAUAAGGUUGAAGGCUCUGACGCUUGACUAGACCGGACCACUGCAACACACACCCGAGGACCCCGUUGCUUACCGCGUUAGGAUAGGCCAAUAAUUUUUUUAUGGUUUAUGUCGGAGUUUGAAAAAAAAAAGAGUAUGCCUAAGUAUUAUUCCUAAGUUUUUAUUUUAAUUAGACCGAUUUUUCAGAGAUUUUAAUCGUACUGGUAUGGUCACACUAUGAUUAUAUGCCAGUAGCAUUUUGCUUAACCAGUCAUGCUUUGAUACAUUUAUAUAUCUUAACUUCUAGGUUUUCUUUUUCCUCACAUGGUGGUGCAUUUUCAUUUAGUUAGAUUAUCUACUUUUAAAAGUGGUUAAUGUGUUGUACAUCACAUGUCUACAUAUGCAAAUGUACUCAAAUAUUAACUAAAAGUAUAAUCGAUGCAUCUCAGUCGAGUUAGCUUAUUAUAUUAGUCUGAGGUAUAUGUUUAGGAAUAGACCAUAUGUAAUGAUAAAAAAAAACUGGAGUAUACUGGCAUUAAUUAUUGUAAGUAGGAAUCAGAGUCAUUUCAGUUGGUAUCAGAGCAGAGAUCUUGAAGGGUGUGUCUACAAUUGGUCCCGGAAAGCUCAAGAAGUCAAGCCUCAAGUCUGUGAGUUUUUACUGCUUUAAAUAUUACACGUUAAAAUUAAAUGCUUUCAUGAUAUAAAAGGAUUUGGAGGAUAAAUACUAUUAAAUUUAAGUGCAUGAUGCUUACGUAUUGCAUGGGAUGUUGGGUGCAUAUAUGACUCUGAGACGUGUUGUUAACGGAGAUAAGGAUGAAGAGGAAUGUGAGGAGGUGCGACCCCCUCCAGAUGCUGCUACACAAUUACUUGAAGGAAAGGCUCAAUUAUUCGAACAGUAUGUGGGUAAUGCUAAUAGGGGAGGGCAGCAGGACAUCUACGUGCAGUUUAGGAGAAUUGAUCUUAAAGAUUUCUCGGGUACUACCGAUCCAUUCAUGGUGGAGGGAUGGAUCCGAUCAUUAGAGGUGAUCUUCUGAUAUAUGAAUAUAGCUGAUGUUGAUAGGGUCUGUUGUGCCAUCUAUCUACUGAAAGACGACGCUUCCUUAUGGUGGGAGGGAGCCGAAAGAGGGGUUGAUCUAAAAACCUUGACUUGUGAAGAUUUCAAGAGAAUUUUCUAUGAUAAAUACUUUACAGCCGACGUUUGGGGACGACUGAAGAGGGAGUUUAUGAGUCUUCGUCAGGGGGAUUUAACUAUUGCUGAGUUUGUUAAGAAGUUUGAUAAGGGGUGCCACUUUGUACCCCUUAUUGCCAAUGAUGCUGUUGAGAAACUCAGGCACUUCUUGGAUGGUCUUAGGCCUACUAUCAGAUGUUCUCCUCACCAACCCGACUAUGUAUAAUGAUGCAGUUAAUGGAGCUUAUAGGGCAGAGCAGUCCUUGAAAGACAUAGCAUGGGAGAUGCAGAGGAAGAGGCCACAACUACAACAACAGCAACAACAGAAUAAGAAGUCAUACACGGGGUCACAGAAAGGACAAAAAAAGCCUCCGGGGCAACCCAAGCAACAACUAAGAGUAGCUACCCUAAAGACCUAGGAGAAGCCACUGUGCAAGGAGUGCAACCGCCAGCACUAUGACAAAUGCAUGUGGGGUACCUACAUGUGCUUCAACUAUGGAGAAGAGGGACAUAAAGCUGUGUAUUGCCCAAAGAAGAAACAACCUAUGAUUGGUCGAGCCUUUGUGAUUCAUGCCGAGGAGGCAGAGCCAGACACUACGCUUAUCACAGAUAAAGGUAAAGGAAAGAUAGACUAGUGGAGGCUGGAGGGCAAUGCAAUGAAGAUGUGUGUGGAUGGAACUUGGAAUAAAGACCUUGGAGAAACUAGAAAUAAAUCUGAAACUUUAGCAUUAUAUUAAGUUGUUACUUUCCUUAUUUCAGUUAUUUUAAUGCUAUGAAUCCUGAAAGACCUGGUUAGAUUGUUAGUAUUCCUGCUUAGAAUGUCAGUUAGUGUUAUUGGGAUGUUUAUGGACA